rnacentral:tRNA from 1 species
ACCUUCGUGGCGUAGUGGUCAACACACUCGACGCCUAUUCCAGAGGUCCGUGGUUCGAGUCCCGGCGAGGGCA